rnacentral:lncRNA from 1 species
AUUCACACCUGCUGAAGCAGAUGACUUUCAGGACUGGCCAGUGCCCGACGCUCCUGACAGUCCAGUGGACACCGACGGCCGAACAGAAUCUGCCAGCAGGACGACGGAAAGAUCACCCGAGCGUACAGAUGACUGUGAGCCAGAGGUGGAUGAAACAGAAAUUGUGCCAAGACCACGAAAGAGAG